UACGUAGGUGGCAAGCGUUGUCCGGAAUUAUUGGGCGUAAAGCGCGCGCAGGCGGUCCUUUAAGUCUGAUGUGAAAGCCCACGGCUCAACCGUGGAGGGUCAUUGGAAACUGGGGGACUUGAGUGCAGAAGAGGAAAGCGGAAUUCCACGUGUAGCGGGUGAAAUGCGUAGAGAUGUGGAGGAACACCAGUGGCGAAGGCGGCUUCUGGUCUGUAACUGACGCUGAGGCGCGAAAGCGUGGGGAGCAAACAGG
rnacentral:rRNA from 1 species